rnacentral:misc_RNA from 1 species
GAUGAAGAACGUAGCGAAAUGCGAUAAGUAUUGUGAAUUGCAGAAUCCAGUGAAUCAUCGAAUCUUUGAACGCACAUUGCGCCCGCCAGUAUUCUGGCGGGCAUGCCUGUUCGAGCGUCAUUACAACCCUCAGGCCCCCGGGCCUGGCGUUGGGGAUCGGCGGAAGCCCCCUGCGGGCACAACGCCGUCCCCCAAAUACAGUGGCGGUCCCGCCGCAGCUUCCAUUGCGUAGUAGCUAACACCUCGCAACUGGAGAGCGGCGCGGCCACGCCGUAAAACACCCAAAUUCUGAAUGUUGACCUCGAAUCAGGUAGGAAUACCCGCUGAACUUAAGCAUAUCAAUAAGCGGAGGA